UCGAGAAUCUUUCACAAUGGGGGCAACCCUGAUGGAGCGACGCCGCGUGGAGGAUAAGGUCUUCGGAUUGUAAACUCCUGUCAUGCGUGAACAAGGCUGCGAGGUUAAUACCUUUGCAGAUUGAUGGUAGCGCAAGAGGAAGAGACGGCUAACUCUGUGCCAGCAGCCGCGGUAAUACAGAGGUCUCAAGCGUUGUUCGGAAUCACUGGGCGUAAAGGGUGCGUAGGUGGCGUGGUAAGUCAGAUGUGAAAGCCCAGGGCUCAACCCUGGAAUUGCAUCCGAUACUGCUGUGCUAGAGUACUGGAGGGGUGACUAGAAUUCUCGGUGUAGCAGUGAAAUGCGUAGAUAUCGAGAGGAAUACCAAAGGCGUAGGCAGGUCACUGGACAGUUACUGACACUGAGGCACGAAGGCCAGGGGAGCGAACG
rnacentral:rRNA from 1 species